GAGGAAAGUCCGGGCUCCACAGGACAGGGUGCUGGGUAACUCCCAGUCCUGGCGACAGGAAGGAAAGUGCCACAGAAAGGAGACCGCCUCGUUUGAUGUCUGAGACAUCGGAUGGGGUAAGGGUGAAAGGGUGAGAUAAGAGCUCACCAGUCCAGCCGGCGACGGUUGGAGCUUGGUAAACCCCGCCUGGAGCAAGACCAAAUAGGGGAGCGCAUGAGGGUGGUCCGCCCGAGCUUCCGGGUAGGUCGCUUGACCUCGAUGGAGACAUCGAGGCUAGAUGAAUGGUCAUUGUCUUGAAAGUGGGUGACUACUUCGGGAAACAGAAUCCGGCUUAC
rnacentral:RNase_P_RNA from 1 species